rnacentral:tRNA from 1 species
GGGAUUGUAGUUCAAUCGGUCAGAGCACCGCCCUAUCAAGGCGGAAGCUGCGGGGUUCGAGCCCCGUCAGUACCG